rnacentral:rRNA from 1 species
UACAGAGGUCCCAAGCGUUGUUCGGAUUCACUGGGCGUAAAGGGUGCGUAGGUGGUGAGGUAAGUCGGAUGUGAAAGCUCCGAGCUCAACUCGGAAAUGGCAUUGGAAACUACCUUGCUAGAGGAUUUGAGGGGGGAUUGGAAUACUUGGUGUAGCAGUGAAAUGCGUAGAUAUCAAGUGGAACACCAGUGGCGAAGGCGAAUCCCUGGAAAAUACCUGACGCUGAGGCGCGAAAGCCAGGGGAGCGAACGGG